CUGGCGGCAUGCCUUACACAUGCAAGUCGAACGGUAACAGGUCUUCGGAUGCUGACGAGUGGCGAACGGGUGAGUAAUACAUCGGAACGUGCCCAGUAAUGGGGGAUAGCUCGGCGAAAGCCGGAUUAAUACCGCAUACGCCCUGAGGGGGAAAGUGGGGGAUCGCAAGACCUCACGUUAUUGGAGCGGCCGAUGGCUGAUUAGCUAGUUGGUAGGGUAAAGGCCUACCAAGGCGACGAUCAGUAGCUGGUCUGAGAGGACGAUCAGCCACACUGGGACUGAGACACGGCCCAGACUCCUACGGGAGGCAGCAGUGGGGAAUUUUGGACAAUGGGGGAAACCCUGAUCCAGCAAUGCCGCGUGUGCGAAGAAGGCCUUCGGGUUGUAAAGCACUUUUGUCAGGGAAGAAAUCCUUUGGGCUAAUACCCUAGGGGGAUGACGGUACCUGAAGAAUAAGCACCGGCUAACUACGUGCCAGCAGCCGCGGUAAUACGUAGGGUGCAAGCGUUAAUCGGAAUUACUGGGCGUAAAGCGUGCGCAGGCGGUUGUGUAAGACAGGUGUGAAAUCCCCGGGCUUAACCUGGGAGUUGCAUUUGUGACUGCACGACUAGAGUGUGUCAGAGGGGGGUGGAAUUCCACGUGUAGCAGUGAAAUGCGUAGAUAUGUGGAGGAACACCAAUGGCGAAGGCAGCCCCCUGGGGAUAACACUGACGCUCAUGCACGAAAGCGUGGGGAGCAAACAGGAUUAGAUACCCUGGUAGUCCACGCCCUAAACGAUGUCAACUAGUUGUUGGGGAUUUACUUCCUUGGUAACGUAGCUAACGCGUGAAGUUGACCGCCUGGGGAGUACGGCCGCAAGGUUAAAACUCAAAGGAAUUGACGGGGACCCGCACAAGCGGUGGAUGAUGUGGAUUAAUUCGAUGCAACGCGAAAAACCUUACCUACCCUUGACAUGGCAGGAACUUUCCAGAGAUGGAUUGGUGCUCGAAAGAGAACCUGCACACAGGUGCUGCAUGGCUGUCGUCAGCUCGCGUCGUGAGAUGUUGGGUUAAGUCCCGCAACGAGCGCAACCCUUGUCAUUAGUUGCUACGAAAGGGCACUCUAAUGAGACUGCCGGUGACAAACCGGAGGAAGGUGGGGAUGACGUCAAGUCCUCAUGGCCCUUAUGGGUAGGGCUUCACACGUCAUACAAUGGUCGGUACAGAGGGUUGCCAAGCCGCGAGGUGGAGCCAAUCCCAGAAAACCGAUCGUAGUCCGGAUCGCAGCCUGCAACUCGACUGCGUGAAGUCGGAAUCGCUAGUAAUCGCGGAUCAGAAUGCCGCGGUGAAUACGUUCCCGGGUCUUGUACACACCGCCCGUCACACCAUGGGAGUGGGUUCUACCAGAAGUGGCUAGUCUAACCGCAAGGAGGACGGUCACCACGGUAGGAUUCAU
rnacentral:rRNA from 1 species